GAUGAAGAACGCAGCGAAAUGCGAUAAGUAAUGUGAAUUGCAGAAUUCAGUGAAUCAUCGAAUCUUUGAACGCACAUUGCGCCCGCCAGCAUUCUGGCGGGCAUGCCUGUUCGAGCGUCAUUUCAGCCCUCGAGCCCCCCCGGGGGCCUCGGUGUUGGGGGACGGCACACCAGCCGCCCCCGAAAUGCAGUGGCGACCCCGCCGCAGCCUCCCCUGCGUAGUAGCACACACCUCGCACCGGAGCGCGGAGGCGGUCACGCCGUAAAACGCCCAACUUUCUUAGAGUUGACCUCGGAUCAGGUAGGAAUACCCGCUGAACUUAAGCAUAUCAAUAAGCGGAGGA
rnacentral:misc_RNA from 1 species